ensembl:lncRNA
AAAUCUCCAGAGCAGGGCUUAUAUUUAUGGACCACGUUAAAAACUGUGGCAGAAGGAAAUCCACAAGUUGGAAAGCCAUGCUGGCUGCAGCUCUGUGGGAAACAACAAGGCAGAAAAGCAAAAUUUGUCAAAUGGAUGAGAAAAAAUAUGAACUGAAGAGGAGCUGUUGCAAACCUGAUCUUCUGGCAGCUAGAAUAUCAUGCAGGAUUUGCCAGAGGAUGUAGUCUCAUCCCUUUGAAGGAUAGAAGAUCUCAAUAUCACCAACAUAGGAUAGUUUGCAUAAAUGAAGUAAACAAUCUGAUUCCAAAGAGGAGAACUCUCUGAAGGUAAUGGCCCUUCACUAUCUGGAGAACCAGGCACAAGAAGGGAAAUCCUGUGUCCCAGAUCCCAAAGGAGAAUUAUUGUAUUACAUCAGGAGAGCCU